AGCAUAGUGACUGGCAGAGCUUAAACAGUCAGGCGAAUAUUAGGGUGAACUGCGUGAUAAAUAUUAAAGUUUACCGUUUAACAGUGGGAGUAAAAGGGACCGCGUUUACUAUAAAGAGGUAUCCUAGAAAACUUUGGCGACAAAAGGUAUUGUGACUUACAUUCCUUAGGAAAGUGCUUUAAUUAAUAUGUUCCUACUGUAAAUGUAGUGAUCUGCGCGCACAAAGGUUGAUGUAAAACGAUGUUGACGUAGCUACAAUUACUGAUCGAUUUAGAGAAUGUUCGCGAGCAAUGAACUAACGAGACUGAACUCAAGCUCGCGCUGGUGCGCCGCAAUAGGACUGCUAUCGUAGCGCGUUAUAUUUCAAACUUUUAUGCGACAACUUAAAGAUAACUCAAUGGGGCUUUUUGACAGAAAUUUGUUCAGAAACGAGCACUCACAGCGGUUCUGGGAGCUUAAUAUGGUGAUCGGGGACACAGACGCAGUUUGACGAAAGAAACAGCAUGCACGCGUAUGUAUAAUUUCACCUAAACAAAAUAUGGCUGAGAAUCUCGGAAACUGGCUUCGUUAGAAAAGGCAAAGAGCCAAAGAUACAUUAUUUUCUCAACAACUAUAAUAAAUGUUUGUGAUGUUACUCUGAGUGUAUAUCCCCAUCGGACAAGCUUGAAAAAUAUGCCUGGCCACGGUGGGAAUCGAUGAAUCGAACCUACAGGCAUAUUUUUCAAGCUUUGCUUUUCAGAGUAACAUCACAAACAUCAUAUUCACCUGAGUACACCGACCAACACAAAAAAAACUAUAAUAAAACUACAAUUAUAAGCUGAUCGAUAAGCAUUCAAUCACAUCGGCACGAAUACUGAAAUUGGCCCUUUCCGAGCUACAGUAACAGUAUACAAAGCAUAUCAUACCUAGAGUGUGUCGACAUAGGGGUUUUACAGCGUGCAAAAAAUAAGAUAUGACUAUACAAUUCAUAUUGAAUAAUUUUUAGGGAAGUUCUAUAUUUCGGCAGUAGUUUUAAUACUCGAUUAAGAAGUUAUUCAUCUUCAGAGAGGUUUUUUGAACAGCGCAAUUAAAAUUAACGAACCAUUUGACAAUUUCGCGGGAUCGUCAAUCACCUAUAUUGAAUAUCGUAAAAGACGUAAAUAGAUGCGAUUCAGUCGUUUUCCGAUCGAGUCAAGCAUGCAUGCACAGCAUGAUAAAUGAUAAUGUUAAAGAGUGAAUUAGCAAGCGUUUGAUGUUAAAGAACUAAAAACAUUUUAACGGUACGAGUAGGAAGACUAAUGAAAUUGGACGUAAACAGAUUAAGAGAAAACUAUAUAUAUAUAUAAUUUUGCUUAAUCCAAAAACAUUUUGAACGCGAUGUUUACGGGUCCGGAGUGUUAAUAGAAAAUUAGUACAAAUUUGUUUAUGUUUCGGACGAUGAAAGAUAUCAAUAUUUUACGCAUCGAAUUUUUCUGUAAAACCUUUUCUGCAAUUUGACGCAUGAAGAAUAUUAGUGAGGAUUAUAUCGUUUUUACUUAAACCUUGCCAUUGCAUUGCGAAUUUCUCUCGAUUUUGCCACUUGCCAGCUGUUAAUCUACUGAAAUUUGGCGUGCUUGGCUAAUGGCUAAUACUCAUUAGGCAUAUUAAUGGUAUAACUUUAAGCGGAUUGGAAUGUUUUUUAAGAAUUAAUAAAGAGCCAGAAAGUUGUCCAGGCAGUCAUAUAUCUAUAUUAUUUAAAUUGAGAAUUUUCGGUAUAUCUUUAGGUUGGGGAUAUUCCUAAUAUCCGUUAGAGAUUAGCUAUAUACGGAAAAUAAGAAUAGGAACAACGCGAUUAUACGAUUAAGAUAACUUAUAUGAUUAAGAUCUGGAAACACGAAAUACUUGUUUUGUCCUGUAUUUAAUGUGGAAUUAUAUGGAAACAAAAAUGUGCGAUCUUUAGGAAAAUUUGACAUAUGCUCCACGGUGACUAAGGCUUAAAGGAUUGACAUACCAGGGCCGAUAUGCAGUAUAAAUAUUUUUAUACCCUAAAGCAAUGAAUUGGAAACUGACACCAUAGAUCACGAUCGCUUAUUAGGUCCCUAUCCUGUCAUUAUAACGUUUCGAAAGGCCGCUAUUCUGAUUGUUCAAAUACGUCACAAUGAAACUCGUUAAAAACAUUCGAAAGUAGCAGUGGCCCUCCAAAGUUAAAAGUGUGCGUACAUCAUAUGCAUCAUAGAAAAGAAUGCAUCUUCUUGCAAUAUUCUUUCUUUCGUCUGGACGCAAAGCGUGUUUUAAUUUCUCCGGAAAGGCUGCCUAAUCUCUGACGGGACAAUAUAUACCAUAUAUAUGUAUAAACAUAUAUAUGUAUAAACGCAGAUCAAUUUAUGUGUUAGGAUUAUAGGCUAUGCUUCCCACAGACGCAUCAAGUUUGCCAUUGCGAAUCGCAAGUUUUAUAGUUCUGUCACGCGACGCUAUCUAGUAUACAUGUAAGUGAUUUUAAGAUAAUCAGCUCACGAAAAUGUCUCCAAAACUAGACCCCCUAAAUCAUUGCUUUCAACUGAAGGUCGCCACUUGCCAGACGAUAUAAGUCAACAAAUGAGACCCCCAGUGGAUAAAUUGUUAGGUUAACAAGGUUGUCCUAUUCACACAGUGCUCUUUGCGCAUUGAUAAAUUUACGACUCUAUAUCCAAAUUAAUAAACGGAAACGACUUAAUUGGUCUUAGAAAAUUAGAAGUAAGCAUGUCAUAUUGAUGACUAUAUUUUUGGCUACCAUUAUGCAGAAUCUGGGAAGUCGAUUCCUCCUGAGGUCGCUCCCUGCUGUUCUUGUAAAAUGUGAAAGGUUUGCGAAUUAAAUACGAAUUUUGCAGCAAAAUUAAUUCAAUUGUUAAAAAAACAGCAUCUGACUAAUACACAAAAUAUCUUAAGAAUUUGAAAUGCCGUAACCGCAAUCGAUUGGUAUAAAUCAUCAUAAAAAUAUCGUGAUCAGGUUGUUGAGGAACUUCGAAGGACAAUUUUUAACAUGGGAGGGGAAGUAACCUCGCAUUGGUUAAUGGUAAAUACAACUAAUUAAUACAACUUCAUUGGCACAUACCUGAACAAUUUUCGGGCUCAAUAAACCAAGAGGAGAAUCGCGAAUUCACAAAAAGUUUAAUUACAUUCUCAAUUUGUUCAGUAUACCAUAUAAUUCUAAAAACUUUGUGUGACAAUAUGUCAGACCAUCCCACGUUCUAGUCAAAACGUGAUCGGAACGAAUUAUUUAAAUAACUCAAAAGAGAAAAGUUGUACAUUUCAUGCAUUCUAAUUUCACUUGCAUAUAUAUAUACGAAAUUUGAAUAUAUUCAAUAUAAUACAGCAACUCAUUUGAUCAAUAUUGUAUUGGUAUAGUAUGUACUAAGAUAUAGGGGUUCUGAGUCCGAUGGAUCGUCUGAAUCAACCCAUAACUGCAUAAGACUAUUAAGACUAUAAUCAUGACUAUUAAAGUUGAAUGACUGAAUCAUAAGAUUGAAUCAUUGAAUCCUAAGAUUGAAUUAUGAGAUUGUGAACCCCAGCUCUAACCAAAAUCCCUAACUCUAACAGAAGUCCUAUAAAGAAAAGGGAGAUAUACGAAUAACGUUGAUAAGGAACCUAAGGCUAAGCCAAGCACCAGCCCCAUACUGAACUGUGUGACACUAGCAACCCAGUGUUGUCCUGAUGAAGUACGUUAGAAGUUUGGAUAAAUGCUAUAGGUUCCUUAUCUUUAACUUCAUUCGUAUAUCUUCCUUUUCUAACUUCCGUCGCAUGUGUAACAGAUUAGUGAAAGAGUGCGUUUUUGUUUUGAAAAAACGAGCGAGAAAUUAUUCAAAUUAAUCAGUGACAAAAUGAUCAAUUAAUGUUUUUCCAAAGCAUAGAAAUAAUUGUAUAUUGGCGCCAUUUUGCUCGGAAAGUGAUCGACUGUUAUAUAUAUUGAACCCUGCAUGGUCUAUUUUUCCUAUACCUAUAGAUCAGUCUGUGUUUUCACUGAAUAAGAGGCGGUUACCGGCGGUUUGCCGCCGCCUAUUUCACCUCUGACAGCCGGUUAUUUUUUCGUUUACUGUAAUUUUCUAGCGACAUUAGAUUGUAUUAUUUUAUUGAAAAUAGUAUAAAGCAAGUAACUAGGGAUCCAAGGAUAGUGUAAAGUUUCAAAUUGAAAAAGACACGACACGGCAAGAACUGUAUAAGGUCGCCGACAACCUAGAACAUUAAGAGCAGGCAUAGGCUAAAGCAACCAUAGGCUAGAGUAGGCACGUUACUCAAAAAUGUGGAUUAGAACAACGUUUUUAGGGGUAAACAAUUCCUUAUCACUCCCUUCGUAACUCGUUUAUUAAAUGUUGAAUUGCAAGAGCUCUUAUUUGGGCAUGACGACUUUCUGUUUUGUAAAGUUGAUGGCUUACACUACGAAAUAAACAGUUACCAUGAUCCUCUUGGACACCAUACUCAUGCAUGUCUUUUCAAAAAUGGACUUGAAGCCGUACUAUUACCUACACUAAUCCUGUACAGAUGAGUAUUAUAUUAAAAGUUAAUAUUAUCACUAAAAGUAAGAGCAACAUAUUAUUACAAAAGUUUAAGGUGGGGAGAAGAAAGAAGUCCAAAUCAAUCUUAAAUUUAUAGGAUGCAUGCAGAUUGCUUUUUACUGAAAACCUAAAAAAGGGUUGAAAUUUGGCUUUCACUUGAAAUUUUUGAACGCAGACGCCUAUUUUUGAAAUGCAGCCUGCUAUGAUGAUUAUUAUUGAAAACACUGAUCAGUCUUAGUCUCUUAAAAGGGUUCCGCAACCUGCGUACACGAAAUCACUGAUACAGUUAUAUUAAACAGCUGAAAAAGUCCCAAAUUGUAUUAUUGUAUAGCAAAAAUUCCUAAAAUCGGUUCAGUUGGAGAAGUGAAGAGUCAGUAGAGGCUCAGGCAGGUUUUAACAGACAACGAUUUUUUGUUGUAUACUCCGCAGUGUCAGAUCUAGAAUAAUAUGAAACUAGUUUUUUUCGUGAGAACUAAAUAAAAAAUUGACUACGUACAGAAUUUUGUUUCGGAAAAUAUUGAAUUUUGUCGACAUUCAAGAAAAUCCAUCAAUGACAAUGCGUCUGAUGAGUCAUCGACAUCGCGUUUUCAGCCAAUUUAUGUUUCACUAAGUCUCAGCCAAAUAUGUUUUAUAAAACGAAAAUCAGUUUAAUUAAAGGUAAUUGAGUACGAAAUGACCUUACACGCACGUUGAAACACAAAAUAACAAUGACUUAUGUGUAAUUGAAAAUUUUUCCUGAAUAAAAGUUACUACUUCUACUGUUACUGCUACCAAAAGAAAUUUUCAUUGACAAACAGUAUUGUAAUAUGUGGCGUAUACUGCUGUAUAUAUAUGCUAAAUAAAAACGGCAACAAUUUUCUUAUUAAUAUCGCAGCAUGUUUGGGUUUUUUUCUCAAAUCUUGUCUGACUCUGUUUUCCAAAGGCAAUUAAGCCGUUGCUACGGGCUGCCUUAAUGACUGUUUUGGGAUUUCCGCCGACAUGCAUGACACGCAUCACACAUGCAUCGCUUUUCAAAACAGAAAAAUAGCGGGCAAAAAGAGUAAAUUAUUAUAGUAUGUCUGCACAUUCAUUAUAAAUACGGGAAUAUUUCGAAUAUAUAAGAACUGCAAAACAGUUGCACAUGGCAUUUCACUCGUGAAUAGCAAAUCGUAUCCUCUUGCUACAGUGAUAGGCUACAAGCUCUAUCGACGUUUAGUGAAUCAGUAUCAGUAAUAUUCCUAAAGUUUUUAAUUAAUAUGAGUCAAAGAUUGGCGGAACGAAAUCCGAAACGACUGCUUGUGGUCUACAAGGAAGAUAUGUGUACUAGUAUUUUGAUUACCAGUAAAGUGAAACGAAUUUUAAGCGGAGAAGCAAAAUGACUCACUGAAGGAUCUAUAGUUGAAGUCGAAUUCGAUGGUUUGGACUAUGAAGCACUAGUUGUGAAGCUCCAUGGUAAGUGCUGUUGUUGUAGGAGCCGCUGAUCUCGAAACUUUUAUUCCUUCCCCUUCCUGUUAUUUUGUUAUUUAGUGGUUACGCUUUCUCCUGAGGAAUACAGAUUAAUAACUCUGAUUUCUUUCUCUCUCUCUCGAGCAUACGCGGAUAAUUUCGGCAUCUUAAAACACAAAUUUGUCCCGAAAUUUGUAAGCGACCGACAAAUUAAUCAGUGGAAAGACGCUUAGAUGCGAAAAUUCGGAAACGAUUUCGGAAACAUUCAUUUCCGAUUACUGGACAAACAAACUGCGGUGCUGUCUCGGCAACGGUCGACCGCGGUUUUUGUUUCGAUCAAACGCGGUCAAACCUUAGCGGCUUAGGCAACCUAGGUUAAACCUCGGUCAGACCUCACUCAAACCGCGGUUAACCUAGGUCAAACCGAGGUCUAACCUAGGUUUAACCUAGGUUCGAUCUGGGUUUGACCUAGGUUCGACCUAGGUUCGACCUAGGUUCGACUUAGUUUGACCUAGGUUAUCCGUGGUUUUUGUUAGGUUAUUUCUGGACAGUACUGUAUAUAAUCAAACUACAGUCACAUUCAGUCGAAACUUGCAUGGGCAAGAAUAGUUAAAUCAUGGGUACAAAUUGUACCGAAAAUUCAUAUUGAAUUCAUAUAGACACGUCAUAUGGCAGCCUCAUACCGCUGCUAUGUUACUAUUUUAUGUGUUACGUAUUUGCGAUGAAAAGCGUCCCGAAACCUAAAAUCAUUUUUGACGUAUCUCUCAAAAUUACUUUGUUUGCUAAAGUGUCAUUUCAUGUCAAUUUAUCAGAUUUUUUAAAAAUUUGUAACCGACAUAUUAGGAUCUGGCUCAGAUUUUCACCAUUACCAGACAUUGGUAAUAUCUCAAACAGUUUAUUAAAAACUACCUGAUUUUAGGGUGUUUGCCAUGCUCCAAUUCCACUUCCUGAAUAAUAAGUUUAACUUCAGAAGCUUAUAAACGUUUUUAUGUGUAGCUCCUAUUCCCCUAACCAGAGCCGUAGCUAGACCGAUAAUUGGGGGGGGGGGUUAUAUUUAUAUAUUCGUGUUGUGCCAGACGGAUUUCUUUUGAAAGCGAUUGCUUUUACGGUAUGUGAACAUGAAUAUAUGAAUAUACACCAAUGGACCAUUUGCAUUAUAGACUAAAUUUUGAUCUAGACAAAAAUUUCAUCACAGCUUGAAAGAGCAUCACAAAAUUGGUAAUAUUCCAAAGUUCCGUUGCGAAAUGUUGUAAAAUGCGGAUAAUAUAGCCUUGCGAAAUUUGCUAUUUUCAGUCAUUUUGUAUUACAAACGGGAAAUUGAUGGCCCCAACACCCGAUUGGGCUGUCAAUUUCCUGUGCGUAAUACAAAAUGACUGAAAAACGGCAAACUUCGCAUGGCUAUAUUAUCCGCAUUUUACAACAUUUCGCAACGAAACUUUGGAAUAUUACUAAUUUUGUGAUGCUCUUUCAAGCUGUGAUGAAAUUUUGUCUAGAUCAAAAUUUAGUCUAUAAUGCAAAUGGUCCAUUAUCGCGUCCAGCUACGGCCCUGCCCCUAAUAUUUGUAUUCUAAAUCGUUUUGUGUCAAGGAAUCUGAAAAUAACAUUAGAAUCGUCAUUCCACAACGGGGAGCUCAUUAUUUUAAACGCGGCUAAACUAAUGUUAUGACUUUUGAGAAUUUUACAACCUUUGUCUUUCAAGUAAAAUAUUUUCGAUGUCUCGGACCACGUAAACAAUUACAUUGUAUUUAAUCUGAAAGAGCGCACUUUAAACCACCAAAACCGCUAAAUUCACAGACAAUUUUUCCUUUACUGUAAAAUUUAAUUUGGUAAAAUAUAUUGUAUUUUUGUCUUUAGACCAGGGACAGUGCAAGCAGGGGAGCUGGGGGGAUAUGCCCUUUCGUACUUGGUUUGAGAAAUUGGUUCACUAUAAUAAUUGUGUUUAAGUGUAACUGAAUUGAUUUUAAUUUCCCUUAUUUCUUUAGCAGUAACUUCCACAAAACGGCUAGCCGCCAGUUUGCAAAUUUCGGUGUUGUUAUAUUCACCUGUAGGUGAAUAUAACAGCUUAUUUUUCACCCUGCUCGGUUUCCUUUGUUCUUGUCGGGGAAUAUAAUCAAUAUUCCCCUCUAACCAAUUUCCGUUUAAUAAUCCCCUCUAAUAUUCACCUGCAAUUAAUAAUCCUCUCUAAUAUUCACCUGCAAUGUCUUUGCAGCACAAAAAAUGAGAAAAAACAACAUCGCGAAGGCAAUAUGGCAUUAAGAAUUCUUUCUUUUCUGACUCAUUAACGCGACCUCGCAGUGUGAAAAAUAAGUACGUUAUUUUGAGGCACCUCGGGGAUAUGUGUUUAUUCACCUCGGCGCUGCGCGCUUCGGUGAAUAAAUCACAUAUCCCCUCGUUGCCUCAAAAUAACCUAUACUUAAUACGUCAAAUUUCACCAAUCAACUUGUAGGAUUUAUUAUAUUCACUAAAAAUACUUUGCUAAUACUUGCAUGUUCACGCUAUCAUGAAGAGAUUUGUAGAUGGAAAUUUUUAGUGGAAUUUUCAUACAUUUAUUAGACCUAACCACAAGCAGUUGCGAAAAUUGCAACUAUCGUCCCUCUGGCAGGAAUCGUACCUGCGACCCUGCGAUACCGGUGCAGCGCUCUAAUCAACCACAGGGCCGCAGGUUCGAUCAGCGGCGUAGCUGUCGGAGACUGUCUAUUAUUAUUAUUAUAGCACGUUAUUAAUUUUAGUUAGUUAUAUAUAACGAUUCCAAUUUUAGGUUGAUCAAACUUUUAUAUUGAACAUUACUUCACAUAAAUUUUAUAUUAGUUAAAUUUAGAAUAUUAUACUAGGUCGGUCAAGGUGGCAAGUUGUACCAAGGGGUACCAGCACUUUGAGAACUUGUACCAAGGAGUAGCAGCACAUUGGCAACUUGUACCAAGUUGUACCAACUUGUAUAAAGUUCGGGUCAUUGCGUGCCUGUUACGAAAGACAAUACAAAAAUCUGCAUGCACAUGAAACAUUAUGUGUUGAGAAAAACUUCCUCGAGAGCGUGACUUGUGAUAUUGCGAGAGAAGAGAAUCUAAGUGAACCUUUAAUUUGUUAAAUUUGUUUUGUUUGUUCUAAUAUAUAUAUAUAUAUAUAUCCAAACUGUAUAUCGUCAUUGUUAAUUUAUUUGUGGUUUUAAUUUGUACGUGAAUUGUUGGGCGAAACAAGGGAGGCAAUCCCCAACAUAGCCAGCUCGAUAAUUGGGGGGGGGGUCCAUAUUCAUAUAUUCGGGUUAAUGUUCCGCAUUAUUAAUUUCUUUGGAAAUCGAUUGUUUUCAAGGUCUGUGAACACGAAUAUAUGAAUAUGGACCCCUCAAUUAUCCAAGCUGGCUACGCCGCUGGGUUCGAUAGUUGCAAUAGAAUGAGGUGCCCAGAAUCCUGAUAUUAACCCCUACACUAUCAUUCCAUAUUUUCUCGUGUCUAAAAUACAUGGAAUAGCAUUUUGCAGGGCCUGAAAAACCAUGCACGUCCGGCCGGACGAUUAGACCCUUUCCCCCACUUCAUUUUUGAUUUGGGCUAGCUACGUCUCCUGGUGUUAUUGCUCUUUUACAAUACGAUAAUCAUCGGCAAGAAUCCUCACUAAUUUUUCAGUUAGAUAUGCGUUUCACAGAAAUAUAUCUGUCUAUCAUCAGGCAAUAUACACAUGGUUACUUUUAUAAUGUACCUAAACAAAAUUAUUGUGGGAAAUAACUGGAAAUGCACUUUUUGGACUCGAGUUCUCGCUCCAGUAUAUAUGGAGCUCACUGAGUAAACCUUGGUUUGCAGAGGAAAUAUGGUCGAUUUGGUUAUAAACAUAGGCGUACUGGGCGGGAGGGCGGGGAGGGCGGUAGCCCCCCCAGUUUUUUGGGCAGUUGGGCAAUAUUCGAUCAACAGUCGGACAAUUUUGGUUUGCAAUAAAAAAAAAUGGGACACAUUCUGUCGCCAAAAUAAUUUUUCCGGAAAAAAUUUUUUGGUACUAGUCGGGCACAAUCCCGAACAGUCGGGCAAUUUUCUUUCCGCCCCCCUAAUUUUUUCCUUCCGGUACGCCCAUGGUUAUAAACUAAAAUGGUAUUUAGUUUGAAAUAUACAGAACAGUCUGUUAAUAUACAGAAGAGUCUGUUCCACUCAUGCGUACACCAAUUGAUUAAGUUUGAUAUAAAAAUAACAUGUAAGGAACUCGGUUCAGAAUUCAUGGCUGCUGCAUUAAAACAAUAUUUUGAAUUGAGCAAAGCAAAUAACCUGAAUAAUGUUAGUAUUUAGUUUGAGAAAAUAAAAAGUUCGUAAACUGUUUUGUACAUCGUGACAAUAACGCAUAUUUAAGUUUCUCCCCACUGCAGGUUGUUUUAUUUCAAUUGUUUGAACAAUUGGUACUACUUAAUGUGAAAAACAAUACCACUUUUUUCAUUUAGAGUUGGAAAUAUUCACAAAAACUAUUUUAAGGACUAUGCACCAAUAUUUUCUAUGAUUAUUACAUGACUCUACGUAAUAUUUUUUCUAAAAUUUUUUAUCACAUUUUGAAAACUGGAAGUGGAAUUGGAGGCAGGCAAAUUAAACCAAAACAGUUAAGACUAGAACAUUUAUACCUCUAACAUUAUACACUCAAUGAGUGGAGGCGGUUCAACCUGAGCUUCUCUGGUGUGUCAAUGCUAUUUUUGAAUAGCUGGAGGGUUAGUGUCGUACCUUACUAUGUGUCUACUCACCCUCCAGCUAUUCAAAAACAGCAUUGAUACUUGAUUGAACCUCCACUCAUUGAGUGUAAGUGUGCUUUUAGAAUACAGACGUUAGUCUUGUAUCUUGCUACGACGUGGAUGAUGCUCGAGCCUCGAAAACUGUUUGCCUAAGUGCAACACAUCGCGCAAUCUAAUAGAUGCCGAUCAGUGUUGCUACUAGACUAAUUAGUUAAGUUAAAAAAAAAAAUAAUAAUUUUUUUUCGUCUGUCAUUUGUCACUAAUUUCAACUAAAGGGCCCACAGUAAUUGGUGUAAACUGUUGUGGUGUCCCCGCCUCUUGUUCUUUCUCAGUGUAUAUGAAUUGUUGUACCGGUAUUGUGUACGUUUUUUUCAAGGCGAAGCUAAAUAAAUAAAUAAAUAAAAUUAAUUAAUACAUUUUUGAUAAGCUGUAAAUCAACAAUCGUUUGAGAUAUUAACAAAUUCUGCAUAGUGAAAAAAUUAGUCAGAUCCCAAGAGGUGGGUUACAACCUUCUGAUGGACUGACAUAAAAAAAAAUUAAAUUUUUUUCGUCUGUCAUUUGUCACUAAUUUCAACUAAAGGGCCCACAGUAAUUGGUGUAAACUGUUGUGGUGUCCCCGCCUCUUGUUCUUUCUCAGUGUAUAUGAAUUGUUGCACUUGUAUUGUGCACGUUUUUUCAAGGCGAAGCUAAAUAAAUAAAUAAAUGAAUACAUUUUUGAUAAGCUGUAAAUCAACAAUCGUUUGAGAUAUUAACAAAAACUCUCUAAACAUCUUCAUGGAGUCUCCAUGACGCCGAAACCUUUUGCAUCUGUCAUGUUUUUAUUAACAUAACAAAAUUCUUCACAUAUUCAAGCUAUGAUAUAGAACUGAUAAAAAUGUUUAUACAAGCUUCCUGAGAAAAUCUCCGCUUCAUGUUUAAAAACUUCCGUUCCAUCUAAUCGAAUGUUCAGCGCGCGAAUUCCAAUGUUAUCUGGUUAUCAUACGAGUUUGACUAAUGGUCGCGUGUCGCGGGUAAAAAGUCGCGUGUCACGGGUAGAAUGUCGCGGGUCGCGGGUAAAAUGUCGCGGGUGGUAAAAAAGCUCCAAACCGUGUGUUUUAUUGAGUCGCGGGUUGAAUAAAGUGUGUAGAAAUCACGUUAUUAUUUAGUAAACAACCAUAUAGGAUUGCUUCAAUACGAAAUAUUGCCCAAGAGCCUUUUGUCAUGAUUUAAUGAGUUUGACUAAUGGUUGCGUGUCGCUGGUAAAAAGUCGAGUGUCGCGGGUAAAAUAUCGCGGGUAAAAAGUCGCGGGUCGUAAAAAAGCUCCAAACCGUGUAUUUUAUUGAGUCGCGGGUUGAAUAAAGUGUGUAAAAAUCACAUUAUCAUUUAGUAAACAACUAUAUAGGAUUGCUUCAAUACGAAAUAUUGCCCAAGAGCCUUUUGUCAUGAUUUAAUGGUUCUAUAUAAACGUGCCAGAAGCCUAAAACUUGAAAGAAUAAUUUCAAUAUGUUAAACCAACAAUUAUACCAUGUCAAAAAUCCUCUAAUCAAAAAAUAUGUUCUGAAAGAAACAAACAAACAAGACUUUGGUAGAAAUAAAUUCAGUUUACCACUACUAUUACAAUCAGUUUUAUACCAAUUUAAAAACAACCAUAUAGUAUCACAAAUAAUAGAUAUAUCCAUGCUAGGACAUUAUAAAAGUACAUUAUGAUUCACCAACAACCCGGAUAUUUAAGUCGCUGUUCUCUAGCACUUGUUUCUGGCACAGAGGCUUGACGACAACGUGCACUGAGCCACUGAAUAGCGGAUUUUUACGCCUGGUAAUAUGUAUUACUAAAAUCAGGACUAUAAACAUAGGAAUGUGUAACAGGAUCCUUUUGCACUACCGUCUAUCAACGUGCUUUACAAUAAUGUUAUAUGGCUCUUGUCUAUAUUUAUCUAGAAACUCGCAAUUGCAGCCAUAACAUCUUCGAACAGCUAUUGAUGAAAACCAUUAAAUAACUAAAUUUUAAUGUGAUUUUUACACACUUUAUUCAACCCGCGACUCAAUAAAAUACACGGUUUAGAGCUUUUUUACGACCCGCGACUUUUUACCCGCGACAUUUUACCCGCGACUUUUUACCCGCGACACGCGACCCGCGACAUUAGUCAAACUAUGACUUUCGUAAGCUCGCCGCGAGUGCUCAUCUAAUCACAAUGCUCGACGGUUUUUUAGAUGCAAGCACUGGCAGCGAGCUUGCGAGUGGAUUUUUGCAUUGUCUGUCAAUAUAUGAUGGUCUGGAAGCUCGCGGCAAACUUUAAAGCUUCAAAACAAAAGACCUUUGUUUGGUGUUGAACUGGGGAUCCUCGCCGUGCACAAAUCCUUUGUUUCAUCUCAGCUAUUCAUAUUGGACGAUUACUUCAUUAUACGAAAAUACAAUGAGCUCAAUCUCCGUGACCGUGCACAGAACUCAGACAACUGAAAACAUAACAAUUAAUGACAGACUUUGCAACGAGUGGAAAAAUCUACCUCUUCAACAGAUAAAUAAAAAUUGCCGACUAUAUCUUGAGAUAAUUUAGUAGCCCCACGUAAAUAUUCUGUGCACCUCAGCAUGUACAAUUUACGCAUACUCAGUUAGGAUAAAUUGUCAAUUUCAGAUUGUGCUAAUGUUUACAGCAUGACCGGCUGUGGUGUAUUGGACAUACAGGUUGAAUAAAAAAGUAAUCUCAAUCAAAUUCACUAGACUCUAGAGAUCGUUAGCUUAAUGUCAUGGCAAUAAAAUGGAAAUCGCUUUUUCCCUCUCUUGCCUGAAGUCUUGACUUCAGAAUUGAGCACAAAAUUAUUGUCAGAGUAGUGAGUAUGUAUUGAAAUUGGUUUCAGUUUCGGAUUCAAAUUCAAAACUUUGACCCAAUAUAUGCAUGGAGGUUGAUUACUUGAUUGUAGUUCAGCUCUCGAUUUAUCAACGAAAUUUAUAGUUGGUAAAACAUUCGAAACUGGAAAUUUGUGUCCCAAAUAUGGGCAAUAAUUUGGCUGCAAAUGUUUGAACUUCAAAGUCAGACAAAGACCAUUUAAUCCCAAAAGCGGAAAAAUGCAAAUUAUCCUUUCUCACGAAGGCCAAAGUCCGCCAUUUUGGGGGUAUACAGUCUGCCCUCGUGAAAGAUGCUAGACAAUUCAAACAACGUGAAAAGCGACUUUUAAAAGUUGUGACUGUAAAUGUACCAUUAUACAAUGUAAAUAUACCGACUACAGCACUAAAAAGUUGUAUUUCGUGGUGCGUAGACAGCUGGUAGACUCUCAAGACUCAAACGUGGGAGAGGCAGUACCCAAAAAAAAUUCUCACGAAAGGCUAAUUCGACUAAUCACUCAAAAUCGGAUCGUAUAUUUGAUGGCAAUGAUGAACAAAAAAGGUAUAAUUUGACAGCUUAAGGCCUGAUCUUUAUUGGCAUGAAAAAAGAAACAAGGUUAAAUCAUGAGUGUUUAUAACUGGAUAGGAAUGUCAAACAAAGGCUUAAAAAGGGAUUUAAGGUUUACAGGGCACCCUUUUCGGCGUUUUGCGGAAAAUCGCUACUGCGCGCUCAAUAUCAGUCCGAUGUUCAUCAAAUUUUCACCAAAUGUUCUCCAGUGCAUGCACAAUAUGGUAAAGUUGUAAAAUUAACAAACAAUAAAAUAAUGUAAGAAUUAUUCAGGAAAAUCUUAAAUCGCGGUACCUUUACGCUUUUGAGUUGUGCUCCUGCUGGUUUUAAGUUAUAUUUAUGAAAAUAUCAUUUUUAUACAGCAAAAUAGUUGAUCUAAAAAAUUGUGUUCGGAAAUUUUUGUUUAUUUCGUCAUUCCGCUGAUAUGGCGAUUUCUUUGACGACUGCAAUAUAUUUCUGAAUUGUUUGAGUGAAUUGCUCUUUAUUUUUAAAAUAUCCAAAAUUAAAAAAAAAGCCGAACACAAUUUUGAAACUGACGUAUUUAGCUAUGUCCUGUGAAAAUUUGAGAAAAAUUGGUUAAAACCCGCAGGAGCACAACUCGUUUGAAAAUCAGUAAUUACCGUUAAAAUUUUUCGGCAGAAAAUUGAAUUUGAAUAUUACAUUUUCAAUGUUUUUCUUAUUGCAGCGAAAUGUAUUUUACUAAAUAACUCUGCGAGUUUUCAACAUUUCCGUUCAAACUUGGUCAGAUAGUAGAACUAGUCUAAUGCUUUCAUUGAAACCAAUAAAAAAAUUUUAGGCAAAAUUAACACUCAAAGGUGUUCUGUAACCUUAAUUUGUACUUGUAGACGGGAUUUUUCGAGCGAAAACUAUACGCCCAAAAGAUGGCCUCUAAGAUUCGGCUUAUACGUUUGUUAUAAAAACUGGCAGAGUGUUCAAUACUUCAAUGGAUACCCAGAACACGUGUAACGAGAUUUGGCACUCAUCACAUAACUUAGACGAAGACCAGUGGUAGCUAUAAAAUUUUAAAAAUUUAUGUACAAGAAACUAAUCCUAUUUACAAAGUACGCAAAGCGUUUAAUAAGCAGCUGAUAGAGCGCGGAAGUAUUAAACAACAUUACAUAACACAACUCGUUUACUCCGGUAUUAACAACUGAUCGCAUUAUUAUUAAAUUUCGUUUCGUGUGCCAAAAUGUCAACACUCGAAGACUUGCCAACACUCGAAAGAACUUCUUUCGCGCAACCUUUAGCAACUCACGUUCUGACGUUCGGCGAUUUAUUUUAAAACCACAGGAAAAAGAUGCUGUUUGUCAAUUGACCAUUUGCGUAAUAGACAAAAUUUUGAUCUAAACAAGCCUAGACAAAAAUUUCAUCACAGCUUGAAAGAGCAUCACAAAAUUAAUAAUAUUCCAAAGUUUCGUUGCGAAAUGUUGUAAAAUGCGGAUAAUAUUGCUUUGCGAAGUUUGCAAUUUUCAGUCAUUUUAGAUUACAAACGGGAAAUUGACAGCCCGUAUCGCUUUGAGGCUGUCAAUUUUCUGUUUGUAAUCUAAAAUGACUGAAAAUUGCAAACUUCGCAAGGCUAUAUUAUCCGCAUUUUACAACAUUUCGCAACGAAACUUUGGAAUAUUACUAAUUUUGUGAUGCUCUUUCAAGCUCUGAUGAAAUUUUUGUCUCGAUCAAAAUUUAGUCUAUUACGCAAAUGGUCAAUUGCUUUCGGCGAAGAUUUGUUAGCAGUUCUAUACUACUAUAUCAAUUAUCAAGAUAUUUGGGCAUCUCACUCGAUUUAAUUAACUAAUGUUGCAGGGUUUAGUAGAUGGAAAUUUCGAAUGUAGCUAAAAUUUAUUCAUGUACUUAGACCAAGUCCUCCGCCAAGAAUCGCAUCAGUGGCUUGCGAUUCCGGUCGAGACAGCUCUGAUAUGCCGACUCCGUUUAGAGAUUAUAAAAUAGUUCCAGAAUUGGUAUUGCUGAAACUCAACGACCAAUAAAUAGCCCUCGUAUACUUACGAUAUACAAGUACCAUUCUUUAUUAUUAGCCAAAUUAGAGAAUGUGAAUAUACAGUAAUAAAUCUUAUAAACAGUUUUUUUAUAUAUCUUUAGUUUAACAAUACAAGAGGAAUUCUUAUACUUGUCUCUUUGACUCUCUCUAUUUUUGGAAAAUUAUUACUUGUUGAAAAACAAAAAGUGUUACUGAUAUUAUUACCGAUACAAAAGCUACGCAACUGCCGUGCGUAUAUUUUGGCUUUGAAAUAAUUUAACUCUUAAACGACAUCGGUGAUCCCAAAAUUUUAUUUAAAAAAAGGAUUUCUUUUAGUAUAAUAAAUUAUUUUGACAAUUUUAAAAAAGUUCUGUUGAGCCAAAAAAAUUAUUAUGAAUAAUCACCUUUACAGAGCCUCCUUACAUGAAGUUUUCUGAAUAAAAGUGAGCGCGCGGUGUGACGUAUCAAAGUUUCAAAAUUCAAACUCUUCAAUGUUCUUUUACAUCAGUAAGAUGCUUUUUGUUUUUCAACAAGUAGUACUUGUCCAGAAAUACGGAUCUAAAUCGCAAAUUUUCCAUUUUUAAAAAACUGUAUUGAGCCACCUUAAGUUCAGCCUCUCGUUGGCGUUUACGCUCCUCCCGUUUCUUUAUUUUUACAUUGCCUGGCUUAAUGGCUUGUGUUACUCAUAGCGUAGAAACUGUCGAAAACUGUAAUUACUGACGAAAUUUUGAAAUUUAUUGAGAAGGUAGGAUUUGAUCAGUUUUUGGAUUAAACCAAGAAACUUGGGGUUUUUGGAUUAGCAAAUUAAGGAAAAUAUAAAGUUGCCAACACAGGUUUUUUCACUGUUUUUUAAUUUACAGAAUUUAUCAAAAAGCGAGAAAGAACAGAACGAAAGAACAAAGCAAUUUAUCUUAUGAGUUAUGUACAUUUAUUAGACCUAACCGGUGCAGCGCUGUAACCAACUGAGCUACAGAGCCCAUUUGUCGAGCUCUAGCCACAGGUUCAUGUAUAUAUACUAGGGUGCUGUCAUGUAUAGAUUUGGGUAAAUAAUAAUGAAUGUAUAUAAAUUUACACUCGAUAAUUGCCAUUUGUGAUGCCAAAAAAUCUUGAUAUUUACCCAUGCAUAACCUAUACAUGGCAGUACCCUAAUAUAUAUACACGAACUUGUGGUUAGAGCUUGCCAACUAGCCUCUGCGGUGGCUUCUGUAGUGGCCUCUGUAGUGGCCUCUGUAGUGGCCUCUGUAGUGGCCUCUGAAGUGGCCUCUGUAGUGGCCUCUGUAGUGGCCUCUGUAGUGGCCUCUGUUGUGGCCUCUGUUGUGGCCUCUGUUGUGGCCUCUGGCCCUCUGUAGUGGCCUCUGUAGUGGCCUCUGUAGUGGCCUCUGUAGUGGCCUCUGUAGCUCAGGUGGUUGGAACGCUGGAAUCGGAACAUCGGAAUCGCAGGGCUACAGGUUUGAUUCCUGCCAGGGACCGAUAGUUGCAUUUUUUGCAGCUGUUCCUGGUUAGGUCUAAUAAAUGUAUAUAAAUUUCAACUCAAUAAUUUCCAUCUACAAGACCCUUCAACAAUUUAUCUAUAGUUCUAUACGAGUAAAAUUAACAGCUUGGCAUUCGUCGAAUUUGUUUUUGUCUUGACAAGAUUUGGGCAACAGGAAAAUAGCCGAGAAAAACGUGAAAAAGAUACGAGAAUACCAACAACAAAGAAAACAUACACAAAAACUAUGAUUUAGAAAGUACCUUCUCAAAUUCAUUAAUAAUUCAUGAGUAAUUCAGCCAAUGAUAAUCACCUAUUUGAUCACAAGAUGCCAUAUUGGAUACUUGAUGAAAGUCACUAGUGUUUUCAUCAAAUAUCUUAAUUACGCAUGCAAAAUUACUUGAAUAGAAUUCCUAAUUACGUUAUGCUUGGUCCUUUAUGACAGUCCUUUUUCCCGCACUUUUCUAACCUUAAAAGAUUCUCUGUAUAGUCGUAGAGAUUCUGCUGCAACUCGUUCCAAGCUCCAUGCCCGCCGUGGCGUAGCCAGCCCGACAAUUUAGUCCCGCUAAUGCUAUGCAUUAUGCAAAUUCAAAAUUAUUAUCAUUAUCAUUUCCUUAGAAAUUGAUUGUUCUCACAGUCAAUGAACACAAAAAUAUUUGCAUAGCGGGACUAAAUCGUCGGGCUGGCUACGCUAUACUGUGAGCACUUGGAAACGAAACGAAACCUCGACCGGUUGCCAGCCUUCUCAAUGUAAGAAAUCGGAAAUAGCUUCCGGUCUAUUUAUAAAUUGAAAGUGAUUAGUUGGUGAGUUAAUUGGUCAAUCAGUCAGUUGAAUGGGUGUUUAUUUAUCGAUGGCACAGCGCGGCAGGCGUUUACACAGCCACCCCCGCGCGUUUCAAAUAAAACGCUUGCUUUACAUGCUAAGGUUUGGAGAGGUUUUCUAAUAGCCUUGCGUGUUUUUGGUUAUAACUGUAGAUGGAUAUACAGCCGAUUCGAUAUAUUAUAACUGUAGCUGGAUAUACAACCAAUAUAUCAUAUUAUAUUACAAUUGUGUAAAAAAAAUUUGAUGAUUGCUUUUUUUUAAAUUCAUGAAACGAAUCAAAUAUCCUAAAAUAAAACAAUUAUUGCAUUUAAUACCUUUUUAUCAAAAGCACUUAAUAGUUAAACAUAAUGGGUUCUUUCUUACAGAAACCAGAAGAAUGGCAUCUCUGAGUGUUGUAGACUACGUGAUAUUUAUAUUGAUGUUUGUUGUUUGCGGGGCAAUUGGCAUUUAUCAUGCCAUUCGUGGCAGACAGGAACAAACGACGGCGAACUUCUUAAUGGCAAACCACAGCAUGGGCAAAUUUCCCAUUGCUAUGUCUCUCCUCGUCUCAUUUCUUUCA
rnacentral:lncRNA from 1 species